AUCCAGAUGACGGGUCCCAAAUAGGAGGAAACGUGAGGAGGAAAUGUCCUGGAU
rnacentral:hammerhead_ribozyme from 1 species